rnacentral:rRNA from 1 species
UACGGAAGGUCCGGGCGUUAUCCGGAUUUAUUGGGUGUAAAGGGAGCGCAGGCCGCCCCUUAAGCGUGUUGUGAAAUGCCGCGGCUCAACCGUGGCACUGCAGCGCGAACUGGAAGUCUUGAGUGCACGCAGGGGUGCCGGAAUUCAUGGUGUAGCGGUGAAAUGCUUAGAUAUCACGAAGAACCCCGAUUGCGAAGGCAGCAUACGGCAGCGCUACUGACGCUGAAGCUCGAAGGCGCGGGUAUCGA